AUUGAACGCUGGCGGCAUGCCUUACACAUGCAAGUCGAACGGCAGCACGGGUGCUUGCACCUGGUGGCGAGUGGCGAACGGGUGAGUAAUAUAUCGGAACGUACCUUAUUGUGGGGGAUAACGCAGCGAAAGCUGUGCUAAUACCGCAUAAUCCCUAAGGGGGAAAGCGGGGGACCGUAAGGCCUCGCGCAAUUAGAGCGGCCGAUACCUGAUUAGCUAGUUGGUGAGGUAAAGGCUCACCAAGGCAACGAUCAGUAGCUGGUCUGAGAGGACGAUAAGCCACACUGGGACUGAGACACGGCCCAGACUCCUACGGGAGGCAGCAGUGGGGAAUUUUGGACAAUGGGGGCAACCCUGAUCCAGCAAUGCCGCGUGAGUGAAGAAGGCCUUCGGGUUGUAAAGCUCUUUUGUCAGGGAAGAAACAGCAGCUCUAACACAGUUUGCGAAUGACGGUACCUGAAGAAUAAGCACCGGCUAACUACGUGCCAGCAGCCGCCGUAAAAC
rnacentral:rRNA from 1 species